CAGGAGUAUACUACAUCAAAAUGCAAAUUUGAAGAAGCACCCCAAAGGUGCCGGGGCU
rnacentral:tRNA from 1 species